GAACGAGUUGCCCCCACUACCAGAGGGUUCUCCACCAUUGCCUAUUGAUUCUCCUCCUCCACCCCCACCUUUGCCUCCUUCACCGCCCCCACCACCACCUCCUCCAUUAUCUCCAUCACCUCCACCGCCUCCACCUCCUUUUCCGUCACAGCUGCCCCCACUUCCUCCACCACCUGCAGGGCCACCUCCACCUACAGGCCCUCCUCCACCUGCAGGGCCUCCUCCACCUACAGUCCAUCCACCACCUAUGGGGCCUCCACCAUCUACGGGUCCUCCACCACCUAUGGGGCCUCCACCAUCUACGGGUCCUCCACCACCUAUGGGGCCUCCACCUCCAAUGGGCCCUCCACCUAGGGGUCCUCCACCGCUUAUGGGUCCUCCACCACCGACGGGGCCUCCACCACCCACAGGCCCUCCACCACCAAGGGGUCCACCACCUAUUGGGCCUCCACCACCUGCAGGGCCCCCACUACCUCCAGGCCCUCCACCCCCUCCUGGUCCCCCACCCCCUGCAAGCCAGCACCUACCUACAGGUCCUCCACCAUCACUGCUUUCUCAACCACCACUACCUCCUACACCGCAACUGCCACCUCCACCACAGUUACCACCUCCACCGCAACUACAACCUCAACCGCAACUACCACCUCAACCUCCAUUACUGCCACCUCAACCAUCACUACAGUCUUCACCCCAGUUAGCAUAUCAACCACCUGUGCCUCAUGAAUAUUGC
rnacentral:lncRNA from 1 species